CAACAGGAUGAGCUCUCAAAUAAGUGUGAUACCCUAUUUCAUGCUUAAAAGAUCAAAGUGAGAAAUUAUUUUUACUCUUCUGUAAUAGUCCAGUUCCUCCAGCAAGAAUACUCCAAUGUGGAAUUCAAAAUGCGAGGCAGAAACAUCUCUAAAUAAAGGGAGGAAAUCUUGAAUAUAGGAUCCAGUCAACAACAUGCCUCAAGCGGAGAAGAGAGGCAGAGUUCCUGUCACCAUGGAGACAACAGAAAGAAGUUAUGAUAUCUACAGCCAGCCAUGAGCCAGUGCAUGAAGAUAUAAAGGUCAACUGAAAGUGAACACAGAGAAACAAAAAAAUGCAUUUGAGGCCAAUUAAGGUGGUUUUCAACCAGUUCUCCAUUCAGCUUUCUAAAAAUCAAACCAGCAGAAUUCUCUUUGAUUUGCAGUUGGUUUUUUACUUAGGACAAAUAAUUUUAAAACAUUAGAAAAUCAUGGAUAAAUUUUAUAAUAAAA
rnacentral:lncRNA from 1 species